rnacentral:lncRNA from 1 species
AUAUUUUCAGUUUUUUCUCUCUCUUCUCUCUCUUCUCGACUGUUCUUCUUCUUCUUCUUCAAUUUCCUUUCAAUCGGAUGAGAUAAAAUGUUAACAUGGUAUCAGAGCGGGUAUAUUCUGGUUCUCCUUGUCAUCAGCGUUCGAUCGAUGUUAUCCUCACCGAUUUCCAUCCAUGUUUCUGCUGAUUCUCAGAAUCUAGGGUUUUCUAUUCGGUUAGUCUUCGAUGAACCGCUCGUUUUUUGAACUUGUUACCUACUGUGUAAACAUCAUAGGUUGUAUAUCUGUGGAGUAUUGUUGUUGAACUUGUUAGAUUUUGUGAUAGAAAUUUUGUUGUAGUCACGGUCUGUUAUUUUUUGUUGAGUUUAAACAUCAUCAGUACUUAA